UGGCCGAAGUUUUCACAUUUUUAAAUGUUUCAAAAUAUAAAAAAAUAAAACACGUUUAUCUCCGAUUACGAUUAAAAUCAUCGUGCGGUGGUUCGUAACGCCGAGAUCGACGAUCAUCCAGAAAGAUGGUGAACUAUACUUGAGCAGGAUGAAGCUAGAAGAAACUCUGUUGAAUGACCGAAGCGAUUCUGACGUGGAAAUCGAUUGUCUGACUCUGGUAUUGGGGCGAAAGUAAUAGCUGGUUUCUUCUGAAGUUUUCCUUAGGAUAGCUGGAGUACACAGAUAAAGCAGUUAUAUUCGGUAAAGCGAAUGAUUAGAGGAAUUGUGGGACGAAACGUCUUCAACCUAUUCUCAAACUUUCAAUGAGUAUGACGUCUUGCUUGCUUAAAUUUUUUAUGAAGCAUAGACAAUGAAUGUGUGCGCCAAGUGGGCCAUUUUUGGUAAGCAGAACUGGUGCUGUGGGAAUAAAUCGCAAGACAAAUGAGUGUGAUCACUAAGAGUGUGAUGAAACUUUUUUUGUUUUACACAAAAGUUACCAAAAACUAACAAAAUACUGGU
rnacentral:ncRNA from 1 species